rnacentral:rRNA from 1 species
UACGUAGGGUGCAAGCGUUAAUCGGAAUUACUGGGCGUAAAGCGUGCGCAGGCGGUUUUGUAAGACUGGCGUGAAAUCCCCGGGCUUAACCUGGGAAUGGCGAUGGUGACUGCAAGGCUAGAGUUUGGCAGAGGGGGGUAGAAUUCCACGUGUAGCAGUGAAAUGCGUAGAUAUGUGGAGGAACACCGAUGGCGAAGGCAGCCCCCUGGGUCAAAACUGACGCUCAUGCACGAAAGCGUGGGGAGCAAACAGG